CUGCUCAGGUGAGGCUGGUGGGGCCUUUUGCUCGUUGUGCAACGUGCCGCUAGUGCUGGCCGGCAAACACCCUGCAGCUCCAUGGCCAGCCCCACGAAAUAAACU